GUGUCAGCAGCCGCGGUAAGACGAACCGUGCGAACGUUGUUCGGAAUCACUGGGCUUAAAGGGCGCGUAGGCGGCUUGCCAAGUCAGGGGUGAAAUCCAGCAGCUUAACUGUUGAAGUGCCUUUGAUACUGGCGAGCUCGAGGGAGGUAGGGGUCUGUGGAACUUCUGGUGGAGCGGUGAAAUGCGUUGAUAUCAGAAGGAACGCCGGUGGCGAAAGCGACGGACUGGACCUCUUCUGACGCUGAGGCGCGAAAGCUAGGGGAGCAAACGGGAUUAGAAACCCCUGUAGUCC
rnacentral:rRNA from 1 species